rnacentral:rRNA from 1 species
AGGACGAACGCUGGCGGCGUGCUUAACACAUGCAAGUCGAACGGACUCAGUCGGUGGUAACACCGGCGAAAGUUAGUGGCGAACGGGUGCGUAACACGUGAGCAACCUACCCUAGAGACUGGGAUAACAGCGGGAAACCGCUGCUAAUACCGGAUGUCCCCACGAGCUCGCAUGGGCUUGUGAGGAAAGGAUUCCGCUUUGGGAGGGGCUCGCAGCCUAUCAGCUUGUUGGUGGGGUAAUGGCCUACCAAGGCGACGACGGGUAGCUGGUCUGAGAGGACGAUCAGCCACACUGGGACUGAGACACGGCCCAGACUCCUACGGGAGGCAGC